UGGAGCUGCAGAGGACGACCCUGGUGCAGCAAUUAACAAAGUUAGUGAGGGGAGACGCAGGGAGCGGGGGAACGCCUCAGGGCGCACAUGGCUCGCCGUAUGGUCAGGAUGACUUUUACUCCGCACCGAAAAAGUUUGAAAGUGAAAGAAAAAAAAAAAGGGUGUCAGGUCAAAGUGGUGCAGAUGCGCGCCUCCCAAGUGUUGGCUGAGUUGAAGGCAGAAAAAAAGUGAAGAAGUGCUAAGUGCGCGCCUGACUGCCAGUGAUGUGGGUUUUCAGUGAAGACUUUCUGAUGAAGAGGAUGAUGAAGUCCGACAAACUGGGCUAAGGCGCAGGAUUGAGAAACAGUUCCACCGCAGGAUUAUCAGUUGAGCUGUUGCUGAGUCAGCUUGGGGUCAUGACAUCAUCAUCAUGAGAUGGGGAGGCUGGUGGACGGUGACCGCAGGCAGCGACAGAAGAGGUGGUGCUGUGUGUUGCGGUUUGCAGCGGCUGGUUCUUGGUGAAAAGAAAAAAGUGCUGUGGAGCUGCUUCAGGGAAUAAUUUGCUCAAAUGUUGAAAGGAAGAACAAAUUCACGAGGUCUGAAUGGGCAGCAAGUAAGAUUUUUAUUGUUGCAUUGCACCAAAUGACCAUAAAACACCUGCAGGAGGUUGGUAAUUGUCCAAGUGCUGAGGUCUUUUGGCUUGCCAAACUGUCUUCCGGCUUGUGGGCUGUUUUGGAGCAAAAUCUCCACACCCAGUGAAGUAAUGCUUGUGCUGUUGAAAUCCUGACUGGUGGUGACUAUAGCUAGUAACACACAAGUGAAAGAUUGCUUAGCCUCUGGAGUCUUUCUAUUUGUCAGUGAUGAGGCCAAGUAUGUUGAUCAUAACAAAUUUUUUUCAAAAGAAAUUUUUUUAAAUGCUGAAUUAUUGAUAUUUUCAGCUUCUUAAAGGCAUACAUAGCUAUAACAGUGAAAGAGGCACAAAUAUGAAUUGGGAAAGAAUCAUUUUACAUGUACAUAGACUAUUAUAGUUUUACCUCUUAUAUUUUCUGCUGUGUUUUUAUGUAUAAAUAGUGAAACAAUAUUUUUUACAAUCUUGAACUGUUCUAGAAUAAUAGUUUGAGCUAUUCGUAAUUUUUAAUAGGUGCCUGUAUCAUUUAUUUUGUAAUUUGGGUUCCUGGCAGCUAUUAAAUUGAAGCAAUUAUAAGUCCGACUUACAGCUGAGUUUUGCUGAAAAAAAAACAAAAAAAAGAUACUAUGCAUGUGGGGUAAGGACAGUUUGACAGUGUGGUAAACAAAGACAAACGAAUGUUUAGAAACCCGGCCAAAAAAUUAACAAAAAUAAGCUGGACUCCAAAGGGUUCAAACCCUCAUUAUUUCCUGGGAUUUUAGCCUUGCCUUCACAUGGACAUCUGGCACAAAAAAGGCAAAAUUCAGUCACAAUUUUUUAUCUCAGGCAGGUCAAUUUUCUGAUUUCGUAACUUAACAUUAAAUUUUAUGCAGAACAUGCACAUGAAAUUUGUGCAGAAACACUUUCCAAAACAACAGCAAAGACAGGAUUUUUGAAACGUCCAUUGGCCUUUAAUGACUGAAUGAAUUUGUUUUUCCUCUCUGUGUGUUGUAGCUAAUGCACCUUGCCUUCAUUUAAAUGAUCAAAAUAAUGGAAUCAAUAAAUCAACUUAAAACAUUAA